GGGAGCGCAGAGAGGGGUAAACAAGACUUCCAGAAGCAGCCACAAACGGAGCGAGCAGAGCAGACACCCUUAUCAGGUGCAUUUGGUGAGGAUGUGAGAAAGGGUCUUCUCUGUGGAUACUCCUGAGCUGUGGAACUGCCUUCUGCAGGAAGCUGGCUUGUAUAACUGCCGGAACCAGUCCUUUGGAGCAGCUGUUGGGCAUCUCCAGAUUACAUCAUUGAUGAUGCACAGAGUGUGGUGUGGGAGUAAACCCUACUCUUUUCCUCUGCCUUCUGCUCAUGCCGAUAAGAAUUACAACUGUAACAGAAGCUGAAAAAUGUACUUAUAAAAUACGUUUUCUCCUAGUUCAACACUUUAGCACUAAUCUGAUACAGCACUAAUUCAGAUGCUUAGCUUGUCUUGUCAGUUCAACGCUAUUUCACUUGCUACCAUUUUUAAAAAAGGGAUUUGAAUGCCUAUGAAAGGGGUAGAUAAGAGGGUGAUGAUAAUGGCAGAGAAGGGCAAGAGGAAAGGAGUACUGUGUGACAUAUGGGCACUGGCACUUGAAACACUUUUUCCUGGAAUAAUUGAACAUUUCUGAAUAAAUGAC